CGAAGCACGAGCAGAUCCUGGUCCUCGAUCCGCCCACAGACCUCAAAUUCAAAGAAUGAUAUGGAACCUAGCAAAGCUGUUCCACUGAAUGCAUCUAAGCAAGAUGGACCUAUGCCAAAACCACACAGUGUUUCACUUAAUGAUACCGAAACAAGGAAACUAAUGGAAGAGUGUAAAAGACUUCAGGGAGAAAUGAUGAAGCUAUCAGAAGAAAAUCGGCACCUGAGAGAUGAAGGUUUAAGGCUCAGAAAGGUAGCACAUUCGGAUAAACCUGGAUCAACCUCAACUGCAUCCUUCAGAGAUAAUGUCACCAGUCCUCUUCCUUCACUUCUUGUUGUAAUUGCAGCCAUUUUCAUUGGAUUCUUUCUAGGGAAAUUCAUCUUGUAGAGUGAAGCAUGCAGAGUGCUGUUUCUUUUUUUUUUUUUCUCUUGACCAGAAAAAGAUUUGUUUACCUACCAUUUCAUUGGUAGUAUGGCCCACGGUGACCAUUUUUUUGUGUGUACAGCGUCAUAUAGGCUUUGCCUUUAAUGAUCUCUUACGGUUAGAAAACACAAUAAAAACAAACUGUUCGGCUACUGGACAGGUUGUAUAUUACCAGAUCAUCACUAGCAGAUGUCAGUUGCACAUUGAGUCCUUUAUGAAAUUCAUAAAUAAAGAAUUGUUCUUUCUUUGUGGUUUUAAUAAGAGUUCAAGAAUUGUUCAGAGUCUUGUAAAUGUUAUUUUAAUAAUCCCUUUAAAUUUUAUCUGUUGCUGUUACCUCUUGAAAUAUGAUUUAUUUAGAUUGCUAAUCCCACUCAUUCAGGAAAUGCCAAGAGGUAUUCCUUGGGGAAAUGGUGCCUCUUACAGUGUAAAUUUUUCCUCCUUUACCUUUGCUAAUAUCAUGGCAGAAUUUUUCUUAUCCCUUGUGAGGCAGUUGUUGACUGAGUUUUUCAUCCUUACAAUCCUGUCCCAUGGUAUUUAACAUAAAAAAAAAUAAAACUGUUAACAGAU
rnacentral:lncRNA from 1 species